rnacentral:rRNA from 1 species
AGCAGCCGCGGUAAUUCCAGCUCCAAUAGCGUAUAUUAAAGUUGUUGCAGUUAAAAAGCUCGUAGUUGAACUUCAGGCCUGGCUGGACGGUCCGCCCUCUGGGUGAGCACUGUCUGUGGUCGGGUCCUACCUUCUGGCGAAGCGGCAUGGCCUUAACCGGCCGUGGCGGGGAACCAGGACUUUUACUGUGAAAAAUUAGAGUGUUCAAAGCAGGCACGCGCUUGAAUACAUUAGCAUGGAAUAAUGGAAUAGGACAAUGGUUCUAUUUGUUGGUUUCUAGGACCGUUGUAAUGAUUAAUAGGGAUAGUUGGGGGCAUUAGUAUUCAAUUGUCAGAGGUGAAAUUCUUGGAUUUAUUGAAGACUAACUACUGCGAAAGCAUUUGCCAAGGAUGUUUUCAUUAAUCAAGAACGAAAGUU